GGGUCCGGACACACUGAGGAUUGACAGGCAAAAGAUACAAGUUUUCUUUGUGAGAGCUUGCAUUGUAAAAUAUGCGAGUCCUUUCAUGAUUAUGUGAUAGGUGGUGCAUGGCCGUUCUUAGUUCGUGGAGUGAUCUGUCUGCUUAAUUGCGUUUCACAACGAUUUAAAAUGCUAUGUUUUCUGUGUUUGCUGUUCGGUUUUAGCUCUUACGGGAGUUUUUAACUUUGAACGCACACGGCGUAGCUUAAAACAAUCGGAAAGCAACGAACGUGACCGCAACCUCUUGUUGCCUUUAUUUUUAAAAGCGUGGAAAAUUUUAUAUUUUCUUACGCUUGAAAAAGGCUUUAAAACUAGAGGGACCGCUGUUCUAUUCUCUUAAACCAGAGGAAGAUUGCGGCAAUAACAGGUCUGUGAUGCCCUCAGAUGUUCCGGGCUGCACACGUGCUACAAUGAUUGUUGCAGUGAGCAUCUAUUUUCAAACGCUACCGUUGCGGAUUUUGUGAGAAGGGGGCUUGUUUUAAAGCUUUCGGGUGGAGAAGCAGGUUCUUUUUUUCACAAUUUAUUCCGCGUUACGUGUCAGCUAAACCUGCUUCGAAAGCAAGUAGG
rnacentral:rRNA from 1 species